GGAUUUCAUAGCUCAGAAAGUAGGACCGCCAGUCUCACAAACUGGAGGUCAAGAGUUCGAUUCCCUCUAAAACCA